AAAUAAAUUUUUUAUAUUUUAUAAAUUUUAUUAUAAAUCUAUUUUACAUAUAAAUUUUAGUGAGAAAUUUUAAUUAUUUUAAUAAUAAUUAAUUAUUUAAAGUAGUAAUUAAUAUUAAAAAUUUAAGAAAUUAAGAUUUAGUAAUAUUAAAAUUAAUAACUAAUUUUGUGCCAGCAGUUGCGGUUAAACAAAGAUUAAAUUAAAUUAUUUCAGUUUAUAAUAAAUAAUUUUAAUUUAAAAUAAAUAUUAAAUUAUUAAGUGAAAUUUUAAUUUAAUUAAAAUUUAUUUUAGAAAAUUAUGAUUUAAUAAAUUUUAUAAUAAACUAGGAUUAGAUACCCUAUUAUUAAAAAAUUAUUUUAUAAUACUAAAAUAGUAAAUAAUUAUUUAUUGAAACUUGAAUAAUAUGGCGGUAUUUUAGUUCAUUUAGAGGAAUCUGUCUAAUAAUUGAUAAUCCACGAGUAAAUUUACUUAAUUAUUAAUAUAUUUUGUAUAUCGUUGUUAAAAAAAUAUUUUUAAAUAAAAAUAAUAUUUUAAAUUUAAAAUAAAAAAUUAAUUCAGAUCAAGAUGCAGGUUAUAAUUAAGAAUAUGAUGGAUUACAUUAAAAAUAUUUAAAUGAAUAAUAUUAUUGUAAUGUGAAUUUGAAGGUGGAUUUAAAUGUAAUUUUAAUUAAUUUAUUAAAAUGAUUAAAAAUUAAAAUAUGUACAUAUUGCCCGUCACUUUCAUUUGAAAAUUGAAAUAAGUCGUAACAAAGUAGAUGUACUGGAAAGUGUAUCUAGAAAU
rnacentral:ncRNA from 1 species